rnacentral:rRNA from 1 species
GACAGAGGGUGCAAACGUUGUUCGGAAUUACUGGGCGUAAAGCGAGUGUAGGCGGUUCGAUAAGUCGGAUGUGAAAGCCCCGGGCUCAACCCGGGAAGUGCACUCGAUACUGGCGAGCUAGAGUGCGGUAGAGGAUAGUGGAAUUCCCGGUGUAGCGGUGAAAUGCGUAGAGAUCGGGAGGAACACCCGUGGCGAAGGCGGCCAUCUGGACCAGCACUGACGCUGAGGCACGAAAGCGUGGGGAGCAAACAGG